rnacentral:rRNA from 1 species
GACAGAGGGGGCAAGCGUUGUUCGGAAUUACUGGGCGUAAAGGGCGCGUAGGCGGCUCACUAAGUCGGAUGUGAAAACUCUGGGCUCAACCCAGAGCCUGCAUCCGAAACUAUUGGGCUAGAGUUCUGGAGGGGAAAGCGGAAUUCCUGGUGUAGCGGUGAAAUGCGUAGAUAUCAGGAGGAACACCGGUGGCGAAGGCGGCUUUCUGGACAGAAACUGACGCUGAGGCGCGAAAGCUAGGGGAGCAAACAGG